rnacentral:rRNA from 1 species
CCUGCAUGAAGUCGGAAUUGCUGUAAUCGCAGAUCAGCAUGCUGCGGUGAAUACGUUCCCGGGCCUUGUACACACCGCCCGUCACACCAUGGGAGUCGGUAACACCCGAAGUCGGUAGCCUAACCGUAAGGAGGGCGCCGCCGAAGGUGGGAUUGAUGACUGGGGUGAAGUCGUAACAAGGUACC